GGAAUUUUCCGCAAUGGGCGAAAGCCUGACGGAGCAACGCCGCGUGAGGGAUGAAGGCCUCUGGGCUGUAAACCUCUUUUCUCAAGGAAGAAGAUCUGACGGUACUUGAGGAAUAAGCCACGGCUAAUUCCGUGCCAGCAGCCGCGGUAAUACGGGAGUGGCAAGCGUUAUCCGGAAUUAUUGGGCGUAAAGCGUCCGCAGGCGGCCUUGUAAGUCUGUCGUUAAAGCGUGGAGCUUAACUCCAUUUCGGCGAUGGAAACUACAAGGCUUGAGUGUGGUAGGGGCAGAGGGAAUUCCCGGUGUAGCGGUGAAAUGCGUAGAUAUCGGGAAGAACACCAGUGGCGAAGGCGCUCUGCUGGGCCAUAACUGACGCUCAUGGACGAAAGCCAGGGGAGCGAAAGGGAUUAGAUACCCCUGUAGUCCUGGCCGUAAACGAUGAACACUAGGUGUCGGGGGAAUCGACCCCCUCGGUGUCGUAGCCAACGCGUUAAGUGUUCCGCCUGGGGAGUACGCACGCAAGUGUGAAACUCAAAGGAAUUGACGG
rnacentral:rRNA from 1 species